rnacentral:rRNA from 1 species
CACUAGCGUAUAUUUAAGUUGCUGCAGUUAAAAAGCUCGUAGUUGGAUUUCGGGUGGGAAUGGCCGGUCCGCCGUUUCGGUGUGCACUUGCUACGCCCACCUUGCUGCCGGGGACGUGCUCUUGAGUUCACGCUCGGGACACGGAGUCGGCGAGGUUACUUUGAGUAAAUUAGAGUGUUCAAAGCAGGCCUACGCUCUGAAUACAUUAGCAUGGAAUAACACGAUAGGACUCUGGCCUAUCUUGUUGGUCUGUAGGACCGGAGUAAUGAUUAAGAGGGACAGUCGGGGGCAUUCGUAUUUCAUUGUCAGAGGUGAAAUUCUUGGAUUUAUGAAAGACGAACUACUGCGAAAGCAUUUGCCAAGGAUGUUUUCAUUAA